CCUGCUCUCUGGUGAAGUGGUUCUCCCUGACCAAGUUCACAGCUCAAGGAAUGGCAUGGAAGCCCCAUCAGUGGAAUUCACUCUGGAGUCAGCAGGGUAUCUGAUGUCAAAGGCAGUCCUGCCUCUGGAAGGAAGAUGAAUGAGAGGUGUUCUCACCCGUUGUAAAGCUCGCAGUGCAGCGAAGGGAAGUGUGAUGGCCAAGGAUCAUCGCCUAACAGCGUGGUGAAUGCCCCGUUAGUUCUUCCCUGCUGUGAUGUGGGCACACAGAGGCCGGUCCUCCAGUCUGUGCCCCUGAAGAAGUCACAGCUCAGUUGAAUUUUGAAGGCUGAGCACUGAGCAGGGAAAGGGAGAUGCAGAGAAGAAUACGAAAAGGAGAGAGUUUGGUGGGCUGGAGGAUUUCAAGUAAUUCCUGGAGGACGAGACGCUGCAGGGUGAGAAGGGCAGGGAUGAGCAGCAGAGCCUUUUUCAGAUGGUGAAGCUGAGGCUCAGAAAGGAGACACUUGGGCAGGAUGACAUUAGUGAGUGAGAUAACAUGGUCCCAGAUUCUGGGGAUUAGCACACGGGUGUUGUCCGGGACCAUCAUUCUGUCGAGGACAUAAAGGAACAGUUAGAAGCUUUGGGAGGACAAAGAAAGCCACGGUGAAUUCCAGCAAGACGCUUGGGGUCAGAAGGGCAUCACAAAGGAGGCAGCAUUUGGACUGAUCCUGAAGGACAGGUAGGAUUUUCUAGGGCAAGAAGACCAAGGAAAUGAUGACAGAUAAUCGGGUGAGAGUGGACUAUAAGAUCUAAGAAUAUAAAAUACAAGAUCAUGGGAGGGAAGCAGUGGCAAAAGAGGCUACUGGAAUCAUCGAGGCCAAACUGAGGAUCGCCGCCA